GUAGAUAAGAGAUGUGUCCCAGGGCUGACGCAAUACAAAUUUCAAGGCUGUGGAACCAGGAGAAGGUCUGAGGAACGGAGCUCCCGGAAGUAAAGGCAUUGCCUCACAUUUGAGUUCUGCAGCAUUCCUUUGGCCUUUCCUGGCCCUUCCUGACCUUGGAACUUGUGAAGAGUGCUGGUCAAGGUCAAUGUUAUUGUGGGAGAUCCUUCAAUCCGAGUUUACAUGAUGGUCUUUUCAUGACUAAAUGGAAGCUGCACGUUUUCUUGCCAAGAACACCACAGAAGGGAAACUCUACACUCCUGGGUGAAUCGGAUUAUGAUUACCUAAUGCUAAUGUUAUUAAUAGUGAUGCUGUUAACCUUGGUUGCUAGGUUAAGGAGAUGUUCUCUGGGUUUCCAUAGUGCAAAAGUUACCCGUUUUUCUCCCUUUGCAAUGGCAUGACUUCAGGAUUUGUGGUCAGAAGCACGAGGUGGAGAAGUCCUGAUACAAUCUUUGUACUGUACGGUUGCCGUCUGGACUUCAUUGACUAUCCCGGAGCGAUCCAGCACAAGUGACAAGUGAAGACCUUGGCUGUGUUUCAGAAGCACAAUUACAACUCUUGGGGUAAAGAGCCUCAGCGACAAGGCCCAGGAAAGCAGGUGUAUUGAGAAUUAGAGGUUGGAAGGGCCUUGAGAGCAGAGGUCUGUUGUUUAACAUCAUCUUCGAGUGUACCCUAGCACGGCGGUCUCGGCUGGAGAGAUUUUCUGUGUGCUGAACUUAGAUGGAUAUGUCAAAGUGUACUCAAGCUUUCUUGAACUUUUUCCCCAUCUGAAAUCACUAAAAAUGUGCAGUAUUUCAAAAAGCCCAAGUUUGCCUCCAAAUAUGCUUGUGAAAUGUAUUUCAACACACAUAUCCAACAGUAAGAACAUGCUGGCCAUAUCAAUCCUCACAGCAACUCUUUAUUGCAGCAUAUUGAGGUUUAAUCAGGAAACAGGUUAGAGCUUCUAUGUACAGGUUUUCUUCUAGUUUGAGGUUUUCCUGAAAUAUGUGACACAGACUCGUUAUACAAAUGGCCACUAGUAAAUUAUUUCCAGCAUGUGUUACUCUGUCAACAGUGAUGCUUUCACAGAACCUUUGUCCUCCACAAUUCCCCCCCUCCAUUUAAACCAGGACAUUUCCAUCUCAGUGAGCCACUGCUGUAUUUGGGACCUAAGCGAGAAGCUGGAUAAACAGAGGCGCUAUUAUUAUUGUUACUGUCAAUAUAGUUUCCUUCCCUAGUUAUAACUGAUUAUUUCCUUUUUUCCAUUUCAAAACAUUUUUGUUCAAAUGCUUCUGAUGGCUCUCGUCACAAGCAAUAUUCCUUCGGAAAUAAUGCACCUUUUUAAUUUCUCAACCUAAAAUACACAGCCCGUCAUCUCCAUAGUAGGAUGAUGCUGUUAGAGAGAUCAGCUGUGUCUAGUUGGAGAAUUUUUAGGGGAAUAAGGGAUUACAGGAGCGAGUGCUUCCUCUAUUAGUUCGUGCAAAGUGAAGACAAGAAAGAAAGUCUGUAGGAUGUAAGAGGUGAUGUUACUCCAGCAAGAGUUGGGCAUUUGGAAACACAUGGAGUUAAAAGCAGUUUUCACUUAAUGUGCUUUGUUGUUUCUGCUACAAUAAAAAUAAAUAAUAAAAAUUCUGUUUUGCUUCUUUA
rnacentral:lncRNA from 1 species